UUUCCUUUUCGGUAAAUUGCUCCGCCCACUUCCUGUUAAGAACCAGCUGACAGGGAUGGCACGGUUGCUAUGUUGUGGUUACCAUGUUAACCUCCUUAAAUUGGGUUCAGGUGUGAGCACGUGCAGGGCGAUUGGAAGACAAACGUUUUUUGACCGUGUCGUGUCAAGACGUGUUAUCGAACGUGUCAUCGAACGUGUCAUCGAAAGUGUCGUGCCGUGCCGUGCCGUGACUGACUCUGUUUACAGAACCUAGGAAGGGUCCUGUUCCCUGUGUGGUUGAGGUUGUGGCGGACUCUUCACAAUGGUGAUGACAGAGGCAGUGUUGAGGCGCGGUGCCGUGGCCAGCAGGUUGCCUCCCCCGGCCUCCAGGCCUCUGGCGAACCUUUGCAGCGCUGCCAGGCGAGCGCCGAGCCCCUCCAGCUCCUUCCUCAUGCCGGCGUUCUCCGCCCCCAGCCGGUCCACCUCGCGCUGGAGCUCCAUCUUCUGCUGCUCCAGGGCCUCCCGCUGGGACACCCGCUUGACCCGGCAGCUGGCCGCGUAGCCUCGGUUUUUCAGGGUGCGCCGGCGCUGCUUUAGCUUCUGGAUCUCCUCGCGGGACAUGCCGCGCAGGUGGAGGUUGAGCUCCCGCACCGUGAGCGACAUGAGCUCGCUGUCUGACAGGAAGGGCACGUUCUCGCCGCAUUCCUGCUUCACCUGAAUGACGGGAAGCGUGGAGACAAAAACCAGUAGGUGAGAAAGAAUGUGGAAUCAGGACUUCUAGUAAGAAGGAAGUGGUUACAAACAUGUUACACAUCUCAAUCCUCUUGUCAGCAAUUCCCACCCCUAAGUACUUAAAAUCUCCAGAUAGAUCCAUCACUGUUUAAAUUUGACAAGAACGAGAAAGUUUGAUCAUAAUACACCUAUACUGGCUCACCUGCACUGGCUUUCUGUGCACUUAAGAUGUAACUUUAAGGUUUUACUACUUACUUACAAAAUACUACAGGGUCUCGCUCCAUCCUAUCUUGCCGAUUGUAUUGUACCAUAUGUCCCGGCAAGAAAUCUGCGUUCAAAGAAUUCCGGCUUAUUAGUGAUUCCCAGAGCCGGGCUAUAGAGCGUUUUGUAUACGGGCUCCAGUACUCUGGAAUGCUCUCCCGGUAACACUUUGAGAUGCUACCUCAGUAGAAGCAUUUAAGUCCCAUCUUAAAACUAAUUUGUAUACUCUAGCCUUAAAAUAGACCGCCCCCCCUUUCAGACCAGUUGAUCUGCCGUUUCUCCUCUUUGCUCACAGUAGUCAAUAUUUUUUAUUUUUUUUAAAACCAAGUAUUGUGUUUUUUCCAUACACAACAACCUAUCUGGAUUCGAUAAGAAAAUUGAUCAGGAAUCGGUUCGAUAAGAGGAUUCGAUAAUGGCAUCCAAAUCGAUAAAUUCUUAAACAUCAUCCCUAAUUAUUUAUUGCUCUUUUUUUUUUUCAUUGUGUUUUACUUUUGUAGCAGUAUGUAGAAAUGCUGCCGCUGAAUUGGCAGCUGGUUACAUCAGCUUUGUGCUCUUUUUUUGUAUUUUAUGUCCUUUUUGUUCUUUGAUAUUCCCUUUUUGUUUUCAUGUGUUUUUUUUAACCUAAUUGUUAGUGGUCUUUUUGGAACUGCACUGCAACUCCAUUAUUUUCCCCUUGUGGGAUAAAUAGUCAUAUUAUUCUGGGCUAGGACAAACUAUACCCGAGUAUAUUCUGAAAAGGGAUCAAUUUGGUCAACUGCACCUGCUUAUAUCGGUGGAAAUGUGUUUUUUUUCCAGAAUCUUGGGUCAAUGAGAAACAUUCUUGUGAAAAGGGGCUAAUGCUAUCUUGUCAACGUACAGACAGAUCAGUUAAAAAUGGUGUCUUGUCAACAGCCUAUCCGUUUCCUCUUUACUGAGGAACACACCUGAUUAUAUUAUGUUCCCAAUGCUCUUUGUGUGCACGUGCGUUACCUUCAGGGCUUUGCUGUUUCUCUCGGUUGCCAUGAUGCCGCUCUCCUCGGGUUUCCCCGCCCAAGCACCAGUCAACGCAGAUUCAGAAAACUCUGAAAAGGGAAAAAUCGUACUUAAAGAUAAAAAAAAGGUGAGUGAUCGAUCACAUGCAAGUCAGGCCAAUUUGUUUUGUAUCUGGCCUGACUUUCAGUGCAAGCUCACAAGACCGCCAGUCAUGCACCAAGGAGAAAAGGAGAAGCCACACAUCUUUCAUUGCUCUCCGAACACGUGCUUGCAUAUAAUUCUGUGGUUUGAUAUUAGAGGAAGGGGUUUGUUUUUUUGUAAAGAGACGGGUGCUUUUGCUGUUGGCUUCCUUUGUUGGGGGGAAGUUGCCCUUGUUCUUGCUCAAAGCAGGUGUCCUAAUCAACACUUCCUCCUGUCAACAUACUGCAAACGGUCUAAAGGGUUCAUUGUAAGAAAGGUGACCGUCCUGUGAUUGGUCAGCUUUUGGUAUGUAAUUUCUGUUGCAAACGCCUUUUCUCAUUCCGGAUUAAAAAUUUUGAACAGUGACUGUCGUGACACAUCGAUUAGUUCCAGCAGCGGUAACACUGUCACUCUUUAGUCACCACCAUUCACUUGCCACACAGGUAACUAAAAACGAGAACCAGACGACAAGUGUUGUGGGUGCUCAGUAAAUUGUCUUACCGGAAAAUACCGUCCCGAGUGUCCCGGCAGAAAACUGCACGGUGCACACACUUAACAUCGGAAUUACUCGCAAAAUGUAUUUUAUUGUUUUGUAUGAUAUUUAUAACAAAUUCUACAAUAUAAGGGUAACAGUGAUGGUAUUGAUUAAAAUGUGAUGUCUAUUGAAUCACAAAUUGAACUUAACUUGUGAUGGCUCAGUGGAAUACAGUAAAACUAGCCACUAAAGCAGGGGUGUCAAACUCAUCUUUUUAGGGCCACAUCGCAACUCUGGCUGCACCCAUAGGGGCAGUAAAUAAAAGUGAAUAUAUAUGAAUUUAAAUGUAUAAUAGCCUUGUUACACAACUUGCAAAGGCAACUGUUUUUGAUUAUUACAAUUUUUACAGAUGGAUACCUAACCGGCUUUGAAAUUGUAAGUCAAGAUGACUAGUAGAUAUUUUUUUUGAUGAACAACAACAAAAAAUGCUUGGAGCAUCAGAUAAUAUUAGAGUGUAGAAUAUAUACAAUUUCCUGUAAACAUUUUUCUGUCAAUAUCGAAAAAUAAUUUUAGCCAAGAAGUGUUUUUUUAAAUUUCUAGUCCAGGCCACAUAAACAAUGUGGUGGGCCACUUAAAUGAUUUGGGGGGUCACAUAAAUGUGGUGGACCAUAUAAAAUGAUUUGAAGGGCCAUAUCAAACUAUUUGGCUGGCCACUAAAAAAGAAGUAGUGGGCCACAUUAAUGAUGUGAUGGACCACAUUAAAAGAUUUGACAGGUCACUUAAAAUUAUUUGGCAGGCCAGAUCAAAAAUAAGUAGUGGGCCACAUUAAUGAUGUGGUGGACCACAAAAUGAUUUGACGGGCCAUCCAAAACUAUUUGGCAUGCAAAUUUAAAAAGCUGUGGCUGGCCACAUAAAAGAUGUGGUGGACCACAUAAAAUGAUGUGGUGGGCCAUAUAUGUUUUGGCAGGUCACAUAAAUGACGUGGUAGACAACAUAAGAUUUGACAGGCCACAUAAAAUUAUUUGGCAGGCCUGGUUAAAAAGAAGUAGUGGACCACAUAAUGACGCUGUGGGCCACAAAAUGAUUUGGCAAGUCACAUCAAUGACAUGGUGGACCACAUAAAAUUAUUUGACGGGGCACUUUAAAAAGAAAUGGUUGGCCACAUAAAAGAUGUGCACCACAUAAAUGACGUAGUGGACCAAAUACAAUGAUUGGAAGGGCCACUUGAAAUUAUUUGGCAGGCCAAAUUUAAAAAUUGUGAAAACUGUAUGUGAAGUCCCAGGUCCCAUUCUAUGUCUCUAAUUGGACUGUUGGCCAUACGCUGUGUGCCUUACAUGCGCUUGCGGCCGAUUGUGGUGAUUUUAACUUGUUUAGCUAUGUAGGAUUUUGGGUGUCACUACACGAUCGGUCCCGCAUGCUCAAAAACUGUUUCUUUCUCUCAAUUUUUUACGACAUACCUGCUGUGACGUCACAAACUGUGACGUUUGAAUGUUUUGUAUAAAAAGAAAAGCUUACAUUGUAGGAAAAGAGGACGAAAAUAUGAAAAUGAACAAGGAGUAGAUUAAUAUAAACGGGGUGAAAAAUAAUUUCCACAAUUUCAAUCACUUUCACUGCAAUGGAUGACAAACAUAUUCCCACGAGUAAAUGGUUAUUAAAUGUCAAUUUUUUUUAAAGGAAGCACUAUACUUAAAUCCAUAUUUGCAGGAUAGCAAAGAGUAGACUUUACAAUUGGCAAUAUGUACAUAUGCAUUGUAUUGUAAUGUGUGUCCAUCCAUCCAUUUUCUACCGCUUGUCCCGUUCGGGGUCGGGGUGGGCCGCUGGAGCCUAUCUCGGCUGCAUUCGGGCGGGAGGCGGGGUACACCCUGGACAAGUCACCACCUAAUCGCAGGGCCAAAUACAGAUAGACAACAUUCACACUCACAUUCACAUACUAGGGCCAAUUUAGUGUUGCCAAUCAACCUAUCCCCAGGUGUAUGUUUUUGGCGGUGGGAGGAAGCCGGAGUACCCGGAGGGAACCCAUGCAGUCACAGGGAGAACAUGCAAACUCCGCACAGAAAGAUCCCGAGCCCGGGAUUGAACCCAGGACAACUCAGGACUUUUGUAUUGGGAAGUACAUGCACUAACCCCUUUACCACCGUGCUGCCCUGUAAUGUAUGUAUUUGAUGUAAAUAAAGUAGUAUCAAAGAUGA